rnacentral:pre_miRNA from 12 species
UUAAUGGCUCGGUGCGACCGGAUGAUGGUCUUCAACGACCGUUUUUUCACACAGGUCGGUGGGACUUUCGUCCGUUUGUAACGUCAUUUGUCAGCAA